GAAUAAUGGGAAUGAAGUUCUCCCAAGGGUAACCUGAACCGCUUAAAAAAGCUGAUGACUUCUGCAA
rnacentral:ncRNA from 1 species